UACCAGACUCCUACGGGAGGCAGCAGUGAGGAAUAUUGGUCAAUGGGAGAGAUCCUGAACCAGCCAAGCCGCGUGAGGGAAGACGGCCCUAUGGGUUGUAAACCUCUUUUGUCGGAGAACAAAACCCGGGACGAGUCCCGGACUGUGUGUAUCCGAAGAAAAAGCAUCGGCUAACUCCGUGCCAGCAGCCGCGGUAAUACGGAGGAUGCGAGCGUUAUCCGGAUUUAUUGGGUUUAAAGGGUGCGUAGGCGGUCCGUUAAGUCAGCGGUAAAAUUGCGGGGCUCAACCCCGUCGAGCCGUUGAAACUGGGGAUCUUGAGUGGGCGAGAAGUAUGCGGAAUGCGUGGUGUAGCGGUGAAAUGCAUAGAUAUCACGCAGAACUCCGAUUGCGAAGGCAGCAUGCCGGCUCCACACUGACGCUGAGGCACGAAAGCGUGGGUAUCGAACAGGAUUAGAUACCCGAGUACC
rnacentral:rRNA from 1 species